ACGAACGCUGGCGGCGUGCCUAAUACAUGCAAGUCGAACGCUUCUUUUUCCACCGGAGCUUGCUCCACCGGAAAAAGAGGAGUGGCGAACGGGUGAGUAACACGUGGGUAACCUGCCCAUCAGAAGGGGAUAACACUUGGAAACAGGUGCUAAUACCGUAUAACAAUCGAAACCGCAUGGUUUUGAUUUGAAAGGCGCUUUCGGGUGUCGCUGAUGGAUGGACCCGCGGUGCAUUAGCUAGUUGGUGAGGUAACGGCUCACCAAGGCGACGAUGCAUAGCCGACCUGAGAGGGUGAUCGGCCACAUUGGGACUGAGACACGGCCCAAACUCCUACGGGAGGCAGCAGUAGGGAAUCUUCGGCAAUGGACGAAAGUCUGACCGAGCAACGCCGCGUGAGUGAAGAAGGUUUUUGGAUCGUAAAACUCUGUUGUUAGAGAAGAACAAGGAUGAGAGUAACUGUUCAUCCCUUGACGGUAUCUAACCAGAAAGCCACGGCUAACUACGUGCCAGCAGCCGCGGUAAUACGUAGGUGGCAAGCGUUGUCCGGAUUUAUUGGGCGUAAAGCGAGCGCAGGCGGUUUCUUAAGUCUGAUGUGAAAGCCCCCGGCUCAACCGGGGAGGGUCAUUGGAAACUGGGAGACUUGAGUGCAGAAGAGGAGAGUGGAAUUCCAUGUGUAGCGGUGAAAUGCGUAGAUAUAUGGAGGAACACCAGUGGCGAAGGCGGCUCUCUGGUCUGUAACUGACGCUGAGGCUCGAAAGCGUGGGGAGCAAACAGGAUUAGAUACCCUGGUAGUCCACGCCGUAAACGAUGAGUGCUAAGUGUUGGAGGGUUUCCGCCCUUCAGUGCUGCAGCUAACGCAUUAAGCACUCCGCCUGGGGAGUACGACCGCAAGGUUGAAACUCAAAGGAAUUGACGGGGGCCCGCACAAGCGGUGGAGCAUGUGGUUUAAUUCGAAGCAACGCGAAGAACCUUACCAGGUCUUGACAUCCUUUGACCACUCUAGAGAUAGAGCUUCCCCUUCGGGGGCAAAGUGACAGGUGGUGCAUGGUUGUCGUCAGCUCGUGUCGUGAGAUGUUGGGUUAAGUCCCGCAACGAGCGCAACCCUUAUUGUUAGUUGCCAUCAUUUAGUUGGGCACUCUAGCAAGACUGCCGGUGACAAACCGGAGGAAGGUGGGGAUGACGUCAAAUCAUCAUGCCCCUUAUGACCUGGGCUACACACGUGCUACAAUGGGAAGUACAACGAGUCGCAAAGUCGCGAGGCUAAGCUAAUCUCUUAAAGCUUCUCUCAGUUCGGAUUGUAGGCUGCAACUCGCCUACAUGAAGCCGGAAUCGCUAGUAAUCGCGGAUCAGCACGCCGCGGUGAAUACGUUCCCGGGCCUUGUACACACCGCCCGUCACACCACGAGAGUUUGUAACACCCGAAGUCGGUGAGGUAACCUUUUGGAGCCAGCCGCCUAAGGUGGGAUAGAUGAUUGGGGUG
rnacentral:rRNA from 1 species